CCAGAGCUGGACAAAAUACACACCACCAGAAAUUGACCCAUUUUGCUCGACAACGAUAAAUACAAGAUUUCAUUUUUUAUUUAAUUUUCACCUCAAAUGGCGUCCUCAUCUUAGUAACAUACUGUCCUCAUCUUAGUGACAUACUGCAGAUAGAGAGAGGUUUAAUUUCCUCAGUAGAGUUGAGAAAUACCUCUCUUCCUUCACGAGGCCCACCUGAUAUUGGACAGAAGUGGUCGUUUAGGACCCUGGGGCCACUAGGGGGCCUUUUAAAAUGGCGUUUUACCCCCAGGUAGAAGAGAAUACGUCUUACCCCCAGGUAGAAGAGAAGACAUCUUACCCCAGGUAGAAGAGAAGACAUCUUACCCCAGGUAGAAGAGAAGACAUCUUACCCCAGGUAGAAGAGAAGACAUCUUACCCCAGGUAGAAGAGAAGACAUCUUACCCCAGGUAGAAGAGAAGACAUCUUACCCCAGGUAGAAGAGAAGACAUCUUACCCCAGGUAGAAGAGAAGACAUCUUACCCCAGGUAGAAGAGAAGACAUCUUACCCCAGGUAGAAGAGAAGACAUCUUACCCCAGGUAGAAGAGAAGACAUCUUACCCCAGGUAGAAGAGAAGACAUCUUACCCCAGGUAGAAGAGAAGACAUC